UACGAAGGGGGCUAGCGUUGUUCGGAAUUACUGGGCGUAAAGCGCGCGCAGGCGGUCUUCCAAGUCAGUGGUGAAAGCCCGGAGCUCAACUUCGGAACUGCCAUUGAAACUGUUAGACUUGAGGACGAGAGAGGUGAGUGGAACUGCGAGUGUAGAGGUGAAAUUCGUAGAUAUUCGCAAGAACACCAGUGGCGAAGGCGGCUCACUGGCCCGGUACUGACGCUGAGGUGCGAAAGCGUGGGGAGCAAACAGGG
rnacentral:rRNA from 1 species